rnacentral:rRNA from 1 species
AUGUCUAAGACUAGCCAUGCACGUCUAGUACAAACUAAAUGAUGGUGAAACUGCAAAUGGCUCAUUACAACGGUUAUGAUGUACCCGGGAGUUCCGAUGGAUAUUUCCAGUAACACUAGAACUAAUACAUGUCCCUGCGUUUAUUAGUUUCGCACAGUCCGUCGCUGAGUCAUGGUAAACAGUUGAUCGACUCGACGUCCCGGAACAGUUUCCGCCCCAUCAGCUUCGAUGGUUGGGUAUUGGCCUACCAUUGCAACAACGGGUAACGAGGAAUUAGGGUUUGAUUUCGGAGAGGGAGCCUGAGAAACGGCUACCACAUCUACGGAUGGCAGCAGGCGCGCAAAUUACCCAAUGCAGACACUGUGAGGUAGUGACGAGAAAUAAUAAAGCGGGACUUCUGUUUCGCUAUUAUAAUGAGGAAUAACCAAAGGUCAUUCCGAUUAGCAACUGAUGGGAAAGUCUGGUGCCAGCAGCCGCGGUAAUACCAGCGUCAGUAGCAU